rnacentral:lncRNA from 1 species
GCCAAAGAUAAAGAAACACCUAUCCUAUAAUAAUUUAGAGCAAUAUACCUCCAUAAUGGAACAUCUAUAUAUAUAAAGGUAUCCGUAUAUCUCUAUAUAUUAUAUUCAUUGAGUUUAAAGUGGCUAGGGUUUAUAGAUGUAUGUGAUAUUAAGAGAUAUGAAACAUAUUUGUCGACGGUUUGAGUGGUGAGGAAUUGAUGGUGACAGAAGAGAGUGAGCACACAUGGUGGCUUUCUUGCAUAUUUGAAGGUUCCAUGCUUGAAGCUAUGUGUGCUCACUCUCUAUCCGUCACCCCCUUCUCUCCCUCUCCCUCUCUCUCUCUCUCUCUACAGCAUUUCAUUUAGUUUUUAGAGUUAAACAUUUUGAUUUUGAUUUUUACAUCCAUUCUUUUGGUUUUACAAACAUGAAUCAGCAUAUUAAAAUGUCAAUUGAUAUACCAUUGUUAUGUAGAUUGUGUAAUUUUAUGAUCGCCACACCCUCCCUCUGCGUCCCCUUUUUUUUCCGGCGUCUCUCUAUCGAGAGAGAUAUCCCGAUUGGCUUAAUCUCAUCAGCUUACAUAUAGUUUGGUAUUUUUGAACCUCUCAAUAUUUGUGUUAAACAUUUUGAAUAAAUAUGUGCAGAAUUAAAGUCGACUUUAUGGAAGAUCCAAAGAAAUAAAUAUCAAUAUUAUAUAGCAAUAUAUGUGGAGUAGAUUUCAAUUGUUUUUGUUUCUAAUUUUCUAUGAUAGAUGUAUAGAAGAUUCAGAUCUUUUCUUGAGUUUUUUUUUACUGGUCAAAGAUAUUGUUUUCUUAUAGUUUUGUUGUUUUUGGAAACCCUAACAUUUGCAAGUCUUUUCAAUUUUACAAAGAUUUGUUUUUCUAUACAUUACAACUUCAUAAACAUUGAAAUCCCAUUUCACACGAAAACUUUCUUAAAAAUGAUUCUUGGUAUUAAAUUAUUAGUAACAUCUUAACAUGUAGUCUUUUUCUCUUCUUUUAAUCUCUUGUUUGUAUACUCAAAAAUUCAUAUACAAAUGAAAUCUAUCUUGAAGCCUUAUUGAAAAAAGAAUAACCACACUUCAUACCUCUUGGUUGGAGUCUAUAUGUUUUCACAGCUACCUCUAUCUCUCAUUCUUUGCACUUCAUUGAUUUACAUGGGGAUAAUGACGAUCCUUUUAACUUGUACUUUGUUUGCCAUUUGGUAAGAUAAAGAUUUGGCCUUGUAGGUCGUUUGUCAUCUCACACUCUUUACACAAGACAUGUCUCAACCAGUUAAUGUAAAAUUUAUUUAAAACAAAAAACAGUCUUACAUCAAGUGCUUCUGCUAUUCGAAAAAUUAAACGGAAUUUAAAUUUUAAAUCUAGGUAUGUACUCCCUGAUGUAAAAUUUGAAAUGGCUCAUGUUGUAUUUUGAAAAUUGUAAUAAAAAAAGACAAACUUUAUGAGAAGAGAGACUCGAUUCGAAUUCCAACAUGAGCCAUUGUAUGAAUUGUAUAUGAAGUUUAAUUAAUUGUUUACAUUGUGUGUAUAUUUCAAAAUAUAUGUUUCUUCUUUUUUUGUCAUAUCCAUUCGUUAGUUCUCUCAUCACCAUCAUUCCCAAAGUUUUUUAAUCUAAUAAGAUGUGGGACUACUUCCUUCCCAAGAUCUGGUCUAUCUCUUUUUCUUAGCUCCGCACAUUUCAACGCUAGAGUAGCAAAAGAUUGAGCCUCUUGUACAGGCCAAUCAGGCACAACGGGGUCAAGCAUUUCCUUGAAAGUUCCUUUACUAAUUGCCCUUGAAACUUGGGUCUAUGUAACAAAACGUUCCUGCCGCAGAUGUCAUGUGGAAUUGCGUGACGCUAUCAGCUAUCGAUGCGGGGACUAACCGCGCUAAACCAACGUCGCUGAUCUUGCUCACGUAGUUUUUGUCUAAGAGUAUAUUGGCUGGUUUUAGGUCGCGGUGAACUAAAGGUUCUGGCUUAGCUUGAUGAAGGAAUGAGAGUGCGGUAGCAAUCUCCGCCGCUAUUUCAAAACGUUUCCUCCACGAAAGCGGUGGAGAGUUUCCAGUACGAAAAAGUCUAUCCUCUAAGCUCCCAUUUUCCAUGAACUCGUAAACCAAACAUCCAUAUUCAGGACAUGCACCAAGGAGAAGAACCAUGUGAGGAUGCCUUAUGGAACAUAGAACCUCAACCUAUAAAAUAAGAACAAAAAUAUGUAUGAUUUACGCAAAAGCAUAAAACAAAAUAGAAAAUAGAUAAAAUCUUACUUCUUGUUGAAAUUGUUUUUUUCCUUGAGCAGCAUCAGGUCUUAAAACUUUAAUGGCAACAGGAGUGUGGUCAAGUUCACCAUUGUACACAGGUCCAUAUCCUCCUUCACCAAUCUUCCUAUGAUUUGCAAACCUCUCUGUAGCUUCUUCGAUCUCUUCUAUACUAUAUUUUCUGUAGCGAACAUCGUUAUGUGCCAAAGCACUCACUGCGCGGUCUUUGUCCUUUUCUUCACUUACAGCUUUCAUCUCUGCUUGCUUCCUUCUUUGUCCUUCUAGUUCAGCCAUUCUUUGAGCUUUCUCAGCUGCUUCUACGGCUGUUCUACACUUUGCUUUCUCGAUUUCAGCAACUGCCAAUGCUGCUUCUUCAGAAAGCCUCGCUUUCUCGAAUUUACGAGCUUCUUCUAUCUUCCAUUGAUUUAGCUCGUUUGCCUAGAAAAUAAAAGAAGCCAUGAGUACCGUGCUCAACAAGAAACUUGCUCAAAUUAAACUAUUUACCUUUCUUUUUGCCGUAAGUGCUUCUUUACAAGCUGAGCUAUACAUGUCCAUAGUUUGCUUAAGUUCAAGCUUUAGCCUUCUCAUCUCAGCUUCAAUAUCUUUCUGCAAAUAAAGCAACAACCAUAUUUACAUUUAGAGCCUUUCAAACUUAAUUCUUGAACCUAAAAAGAAAUUCGUUCAAGAAAACGUACAGUUGAUUGUGGAAUUGACUCUUCUGAAGAACUCGAUGCACCAUGAUAAAAAUCCAUACUAUUUUGAGAAGAGAGAUCAACUGAACCCAUCACUCCAAACCCACCAUCAGAUUCAUCAGAAAACGAACUUUGUAACGUGGGAUUUCUUUGGAAGGCAGCUUGAUUAAAGCCGUUGUUGAAAUCCAUCGACCCAUUUAUAGGGCUUUUGUAACCUUUUUGCGUCGUGUUGAAGGCGGCACGAUUAUGCGGAUAAGUAGUCUCAUUAGGUUUGUUCCUUGCACUACGCUGGACCCUAAAACGUAUCAAGAAAACAAUAACAUUUGCUUUUAGUAAAAGUUUUGAGAGAAAACUGAUAAAAAGAACCGAAGGUUGGGUUACCUAGGUAUGAGAUCUUGCUCGCUAUCGGAUAAAGAUUGGAUUAAAAAGCCAGAGGAUGGAACACGAGGCGGGGCAAGCGUAUUGGUGAUAGGUCUUUGAGCUGGUCGGGAAGACUGAACUUUCCCUCCUUUAGAAAUGACAUACACCGAACAAAAAUCAGGCGUCGAUUUCAUUAUGCUAGAUUGCACCUCAUGUGGUUUACUAAACAUAAAAGACCUAGCGAAGGUGUUCUUCGUGGAUGCUCCCAAUACAAGAUUGUUAAC